AGCAAGAAUAGACUGUUACGGACAUUCUGUUUACAGGCAACUCUAGGGUUUGUCAUUAUUUCCUAUUUUGGUGUUUCUUUCUGUUCUUAUCCUAUCAUGGCUUGUGUUCACUAAUAGCUUGCACCACAUAUAACAUGGUGUCAGAAGUAUCUGAACCUGAUCUAAUUCUAUACAUUUGAUCCUAAGAGCUUGCAAUUCUUUCAGUGAGAGACAUUAGACCUGCUUGUGUCCUCCUGUAGCAAAGACCGUCCUGUCCCGGAGGUUGGGC